rnacentral:rRNA from 1 species
UACGAGGGGGGCGAGCGUUGUUCGGAAUUAUUGGGCGUAAAGGGUGCGUAGGCGGUUUGGUAAGUCGGGUGUGAAAGCCCCGGGCUCAACCUGGGAAUUGCAUUCGAGACUGCAUAGCUAGGGUGCGGAAGAGGGAAGCGGAAUUUCCGGUGUAGCGGUGAAAUGCGUAGAUAUCGGAAGGAACACCAGUGGCGAAAGCGGCUUCCUGGUCCAGCACCGACGUUCAGGCACGAAAGCGUGGGGAGCAAACAGG